UACGAAGGGGGCUAGCGUUGCUCGGAAUCACUGGGCGUAAAGCGCACGUAGGCGGAUCUUUAAGUCAGGGGUGAAAUCCCAAGGCUCAACCUUGGAACUGCCUUUGAUACUGGGGAUCUCGAGUCCGGAAGAGGUUGGUGGAACUGCGAGUGUAGAGGUGAAAUUCGUAGAGAUCGGCAGGAACACCCAAGGGGAAGCCAGCUGACUGGCCCGGUACUGACACUCAGGGACGACAGCGUGGGGAGCGAACCGG
rnacentral:rRNA from 1 species